UGACAUAAGUAACGAUAAAGCGGGUGAAAAGCCCGCUCGCCGGAAGACCAAGGGUUCCUGUCCAACGUUAAUCGGGGCAGGGUGAGUCGACCCCUAAGGCGAGGCCGAAAGGCGUAGUCGAUGGGAAACAGGUUAAUAUUCCUGUACUUGGUGUUACUGCGAAGGGGGGACGGAGAAGGCUAUGUUGGCCGGGCGACGGUUGUCCCGGUUUAAGCGUGUAGGCUGGUUUUCCAGGCAAAUCCGGAAAAUCAAGGCUGAGGCGUGAUGACGAGGCACUACGGUGCUGAAGCAACAAAUGCCCUGCUUCCAGGAAAAGCCUCUAAGCAUCAGGUAACAUCAAAUCGUACCCCAAACCGACACAGGUGGUCAGGUAGAGAAUACCAAGGCGCUUGAGAGAACUCGGGUGAAGGAACUAGGCAAAAUGGUGCCGUAACUUCGGGAGAAGGCACGC
rnacentral:rRNA from 1 species